ensembl:snRNA U6 U6 spliceosomal RNA
AUGCUCACUUUGGCAGCACAUGUACUAAAACUGGAACAAUAUUGAGAAGAUUAACAUGGUUCCUGUGCAAGGAUGACACAAAAAUUCAUGAAGCAUUCGUAUUUUUA